ACAACUGGUCCAGAAAUCUGGGAAGAUACAUGUGGCAAGGCGAAUAUGUUUGUUGCAGGCAUUGGAACUAGUGGAACUAUUUUUGGCGUUGGCUGUUUUCUGAAAGACAAAAAUCCUAACAUAAAGAUUAUUGCUGCGGAGCCUUCGGAAAGCAAUGUACUUUCACGGGGAAAGCCUGGUAAAAGUAAAGAUGACUGUUUGGAUGUUUUCUCCUCAGAUAAUCAUGCUUUUAGGCGGCUUAUGCAUUUGUUCUUUCUUUUUUUCUGACUUGUGUCAUCACAAUUACUCAGGUCCAUAUAAGAUUCAAGGUAUUGGAGCAGGUUUUGUACCCGAGAAUUUAGACCUGGAAGUUGUAGAGGUAUGGUUUUCUUCCACCCUUAUUUAUUCCUUCUGUCCUAAAUCGACUCAUUGCCUGCGCAUUCUAUUUAGGGGUCAUUUGGCAACAUGGAUUUGGAUUUUCGAUUAUGAAUCCAAAUCCUGGAUUUUGCAUGCAUUUGGUAGCCUGGAUUUUCAAUCCAUUGGAUCUAGAAGUUUAUGUUUGGCAGCCUGGAUUUUGACUUAAGGGGAACUUAAAAGAGAGGCGAGACAAUUACGACAGUUGGAGAGGAUUGAAAAUCCAGGAUUUUUUACCCCUCCUUUUCUCUUGGAUUUAAAAGGGGCCCUUCUAGAGGAUUUUCAAUCCAAGUUGGAUUUGAUAUCCAAGAUUUUGGGGGGUCCAAAACAUGAUUUGGAUUGAAAAUCCUAGAUUUCAAUGCCUAACUGCCGAAAAUCUGUGUUGCCAAAUGAUCUGUAACCAGGUUACAGAGCCCACCAUCAACAUUGCUUCUUUUCUAUGCCGUACCAACAUUGUCACAAUUCGCAAAGAACUGUUGUGCUUGCUACUUUUUUUUACAGAUAUAUUUUCUACAUUUGUAUAAAACUUCUCGUACAUCGCUGAGUUAAUUGGUUUGUCUGGGUACUGACCACCUAGUCCCCAAAAGCCCCGGUUUUAGAAUGCAAAGAGGAAAAUACAAUGUUCAAAAUGACAUUUUCGGCUCAGUGAAUGACCAUAAAUUUUAUCAUGCAUAAUUUAGUAAUAUGUCGCUGAUGCUCGGCCUCAAAGGUAACUUUCUACAUAGGGCAUCAAAAGCUUUUAACAUGCAGAAUAAGAAUUUAUUCUAAAUUUUCAUGUUUAUGUAUUGGUGAAAGUUGAGUUCCUUUACUAAAUUGCCAUGCCAUGCCAUGCUUGCCACAUUACAGAUUAGAGCUGCAACUUGGGUUCAGGUCAACUUGAAACCAACUGACCUAACCUGUGUUGGGCUUGGGUUGGGUCUAGUUGUCAUGGUCCGCAGGUUGGGUUAGGGUUGGAAAACUCCAACCUGAUAUCAAAUUGGUUGGGUUUGGGUUGAACAAAUUUGGGUCAGAUUAGGUAUGGUUGGGAAUAAUCAUAUGUAUUUUGGUUGGGUUGGGUCGGUUUAGUGUUGAAAAUAGAGGAAUCCAGGUUGGGUUCGGGUCAGGGACCUCAUGUUGGAAUUUGGAUUAGGUCAGGUCCACUCUAGUCCAUGUCGGGCUCUGGUUGACCCUUCACCCUGACCCGCCUGAGUUGCAUUUCUACUACAGAUAUCAAGUGAUGAAGCUGUUCAAUGAGAAUCUAUUGGAAUUUCAUGUUCAUGCAUUGGUGAAAAUUGGGUACCUACCAAAUUGUCAUGUUGUACAAUGCUUCUCUUAAUAUGGAUAUCAAGUGAUGAAGCUGUUGAGACUGCUAAGCAAUUGGCUCUCCAAGAAGGCUUGUUGUUGUUAUAUCAGUGACGAAAGAAGGCGUAACUUCUCAACUAGAGGUGAUAUUGGCAGUGCAAAUAUAGUAUGCAGGCAGAACAACACCGUAGACAAGGUAUGCAAAGAAAAUUUCCAUAGAAAUUCAGACAGCUAAAAAUGAGCUCAUCUCAUGUUAGUGCUGAUUGACAUGUUGGAUUUUAUAUCAAUUUUCCUCCAACUUUUUAAUAAAAUCAGAUGUUUGUGGUGUAUUGUCCUACAAUGUCUACAAAAUGCAGGUUAAUCUGUCUACUGGUCAAAUGGUGGAUUUGAUACCUUGAUGCUUGCCAAACACAGCCAAUAGGCACAAUCAGUGGAAGGGACUGUUUGGUAGGUUGGAUUGGGAAGGAAACUUCCCAACUUCCAUCACAGACCCUCAGCCCAUGUUGAAUCGCUAAGAGCCCCAAUUCUUUAUGAUGUUUUUGUCCUUCUCUUGUGUAAUAUAUUUGCACUUUGGGUUUCUAUUUUGAUGUUUUUUAGCUCAUGGGUUUUCUUAUUCUUUUUUGAUGGAGCUUUCUUCCUGAUGAUUGGAUUGGAAAUGUAUUUUAAAUUGUACAAACAGAAACUUGCAAUUCCUCAGCCUCAAUCUGAGUCACAUACACAAAUUCCGUCUGCCCAAUAAAUUUCUCAAACCUAGCAGGUUGAGACUCAGCUCAGGCAGCAACAGUUGAUGAUACAACUCCAGCAACAGUCUUUAUCUUCAUCAGUCAGUAACUUAUUACACAUUCUUGUAUAUGUCAAAGGUUGCUAUUGUUCAUUGUUUAACUCUUGCAAAUUGGCCAGCAUGCAUCAAAGGAAGGCAGAGAUGUCCUGCCAUCCCAACGCUUUCAUCGCAUUACCAGGUUCUAUUCUUCUUCUCUCAAUAACCCAUUUAAUCAGAUUCUUAAAGCCUCCAGGUUUUCUUAUUUCCUAAAUCACCAUGCAAUCAUUGACAUUUAAGUAAAAAAGAAGGGAAAAUCAGUUGAAAGUGACAGAACAAAGCUUGUUUUUUCAACUUGUCUAUUGCAAAUUUGCAGUUUAUAUAUUCGGUUAGGGGCUGUUUGGAUUGGUGGAAAUGGAAAAUAAAAAAGCAGCCAAGGAAAACAUCCAUCUUUUUUGUGUUAAAAUAAGCUCUUUGCAAAUUAAAACACUCGAUUUGGGCUACUUGGAUGAAUCAAAGUUCUGUAGGCCAUUUUGGAGAAAAUUUGAAAAGAUGCAAGUCUUCAAUUUCUUUUCUUUCUAGUUUCUUGCUGGAAUAGAUAUAGGAUGAAUUUUAAUCCAUGCAGUAGAUUAGGUCUUUUAAUCCAAUGUUUGUUGCAGGGAGUGUUUAGCAAAGUAAAGUCAGUGGUAAUGGUGGAUACUCACAAUCUCAU